rnacentral:rRNA from 1 species
GUAGGGAAUAUUGGGCAAUGGUCGGAAGACUGACCCAGCCAUGCCGCGUGCAGGAAGACGGCCCUCUGGGUUGUAAACUGCUUUUAUCUGGGAAGAAAAGGCCAUGCGUGGCAAAUUGCCGGUACCAAAUGAAUAAGCACCGGCUAACUCCGUGCCAGCAGCCGCGGUAAUACGGAGGGUGCGAGCGUUGUCCGGAUUUAUUGGGUUUAAAGGGUGCGUAGGCGGCUGAUUAAGUCAGCGGUGAAAGACUUCGGCUUAACCGGAGCAGUGCCGUUGAUACUGGUUGGCUUGAGUGUCGGAGGGGUACAUGGAAUUGAUGGUGUAGCGGUGAAAUGCAUAGAUACCAUCAGGAACACCGAUAGCGAAGGCAUUGUACUGGCCGACAACUGACGCUGAUGCACGAAAGUGUGGGGAUCGAACAGGAUUAGAAACCCCUGUAGUCC